AUCCAACUGAAGAGUCUCAGAUAGAACGAAACGCGCGUCUCGGAU
rnacentral:hammerhead_ribozyme from 1 species